rnacentral:lncRNA from 1 species
AAUGUUGCUCUCCCUGGAGCUGGGCUGCAGGAAGUCUGGGCCCCCGGCUCGCACUCCCGGACCCCGCACCAACCUCCAGGGUCGCUCUCCAAUCUUAACCAGGUUUGCUCCCUGAGCGUACCCAGGUGCUACAGCAUCAGCUUCCCUUGCCGCUUCCUGCGGCUGAAGGGAUGGUCCGACCAAAGCCUCCUGCCCUGGGGCAGCCGAUGCCACUGCAUGCUUUUUCCUGCGCUUGGGCUUCACGGUGCCACGGAUAUUGGCCGGCUUGCUGCGCUUGGAGCGUAGGGUAAUGUACACCACAUUGGGCUGCAGAGUGGACCCAUUGCCCUGGGACUCUGGAGGGGCCAGGGUACCAUCCAGGGGUAUCUCAGGGAAGGAUGGCUCGGCGGUGUCGCGGCUGCGAUGUGGCCCCUUCUCAGCCGCCUGUCCAUGCUGGAGAGAGGCCCUCCCCACCUGGCUCACCAGGAAGCCCAAGUAGAUGGCACACGCAGUGCCCAGCAGAAGGUUUCUCCGGGUCCUUGGACGCCGGCUGCUCCAGAGCUUACGCACCCGCGGGACGCACAGGGAGCAGAUGAACCAGUUUAUGAGCUGCCCCGGCUUGUCUGGACAGCUGCCGCGUCCGCUUCGGGAUAUAAGUGGUCUCCAGUGGGCAGAGGUGGAAGGAAAGGGUUGGUGAUGAAGCUGGGAAUGUUUCUGACACAACAAACCUUUUAAAUUAUCAGUCUCCCCAAGGAGAAAUGCGGCUUGUUUCUGGGAAUGAAUGGAUACAGAGUUAACUGAGUCACAAUUUCAAACCAUUUAAGUUCCUCUACAAGAGUCAAGAAAAAAAGUAAUCAUUUCCUUUCAUAAAUAUCACCACUAAAUGUUUUUAAAAAUAAAAUUUAAAAGCAUGCAAACGAGAUAGAUGUAUAGAUUUGAUAGUCACUUGAAAGUAGUGAAAACAAGCCACAAAAAUCCAAGAGUGUUUUAUAACUUGUACCUAGAGUCAUUUAAGUUGACUCUGAAGCAAAAGCGUUAAAAUGUGACAAACCUGGGCUUUUCCUUUUUGAAAUUCAGAAAGAACUUAAGACAAGUAAUAGAUAAUUUUUUAAUACUCUAUACCUAUACCAUUUUUAUUUUUUAAAGUCCUGAAUUAACUAAGUACAAGCAGCAAGUAUUAACAAUAAAAUUUAGAAACAUAUUCUCUUAGUCUAAAGGUACAAAUUGUACUUCAUAUUAAUAAUAUGUUCCAUUAGCUUACAUUGUUAGUAUAAUACAAAGCCAUAAAUGUCCAUAUAUCUUGGAAGCAGUUGCAUUUAUUCUGUUUCUCUCUCUCUCUCUCUUUCUCUCUCUCUCACACACAUACACACACACAACACAACACAACUCUGACUGCUUUUUAUUUCUUUUCUUUCCACCGAAGUCAGCUGAAAGAAAAUAAAAGCAUCUCUAGUUCUGUUUUUUCACUAUUAAAAAGAAAAAGAAGAAACUCGUAAGCAACCUUACUUACACAGCUGGCCCCAUGCUUGGCUCCAGGAAGAAUGUAAUCCUUGACUCUAAUGCAAAGAACUUUUAAAGGCUGAGGCAUGUAAGUAGAACAUAUUUCAUGGUCAAGAGUGUUCCACAUUUCAAACAUUUCAGUUCAGCUUUAAAAGCUCCCUUGAAAACUACUGAUUGCAAAGCAAAACUUGGAAACUGACUGCUGCAUGGUUUUAAGAGAUACAAAGCUUUUAAAAACAAUAGUUAACAAAAUAAACUUUAAUUUUAAAUUCGGAAAAAAGAAAUGCCGUAGAGAAUCAGUUUUCAUUCAAAUAAAUUUCCACUUAUUUUUAACCCCUGGGAGCCCUCUAGUGUCCUGUUCGCAAACAGACUCAGAAAUGUCAGUCUCAUGAAGUUCAAAAGAUCGAGAAUGUUUGCUAUCUUGGUGGAGCAGCCGCAGCCAAGCAAGUAACUUGUAAAAUGAGGAAUGCCAUCACCCCUCGAGUGUCCAUCCCACAUAACUUGGGGUUAGAGCACAAGCGUUCCCAGGAACUACUCACCUUACCAUCUUGGCCGUUUCAUUUGUCUUCCACCAGUUCUGGAAAGAGAAGGCCUAGAAGUUCAGAAAAAAAGGUGUGUCACUUGCUGUGACUGUGUGGCAGCUUGCCCAUCUCCUGAGAGCCCUUGGGAAAGUGAAGGACAAUAUAUAAGGACUCCAAUCACUUAAAAGCUAAGUAUUAAGUUUUUCCUUGCCACUGCUGACCCAGGUUUGUUGCAUAGAUUGCAGACCUGGAGAUGGAUACCUUGUUCUUGGUUCAGUGCUGCACAGACUCCUCCACUGGGGGACCCUAUCCCUUGCUCCUCAUAGUCCUGAUUUCUAGGACCCAUAACCCUAUUAUAAUUAAAAUCCCAGCAUUAGCAUAGGUUCCUGGCUACAACCUUUGUCCUACUUAUUGUAUGGAAUUUGCUAAUACCUUUGCUAUCCAUUCCAACACCAGGCCUGGACAGCACCAAGCUGCCCUGCCUGCAGCUGAAAAACUUUUAACUUAAUAGUCUUUGAAGUUUUGUCAUAGAAGUGUUAAAUAGUACUCUAUACUGUAUCUGUCUUUUGAACUGUAUGUAAAAGAAGUUACAUUGAAUAUAUUUUAUAGAAAUAUGUGCACUUUUUAUCUGGCACUUUAUUGCUCACCCCUAAGGACAUCAUUCCUGUUGACCUAAACUAGUACAUCUAUUUGCAGUAGGAAAAGUGCUUUUGGAGAAAAUCACCUGUCUCCUCAGAACUGGUCUUACAAGUCUGUGAAGUAACACUAUGUGCCAGCCUAAUCACUCAUAUAUGACCUCAAGAGAACACCAAAUAAGCAUAUUUCCAGCAGGAAAUGACCAGUGCUUUGGUUAAGAAUGCACAUUAUACUGCAGUUCUUUGGGGAAUGAAGCCACCCUUGACUGAGGUAUUAUGCCAACUCUCACCCUGUGAAUCCACUGACUGGGGAACAUUGUUUAAGAAAAUCACAUGGCUGUGCCAACAAGCAAGGAGACACGGCACAGAAGACAGAGGCAGAAGCAGCUUUAUUGAAAAACAGAGCAUGAGUAGAACGACUUCAAAUCCCAUAUGGCACCACAGUGAGAAGUAACUUCCUCUGAGCUUCUUAGAGAAUCCAACAAUGUCCUGCUUCCUUGGGGAGCUGCAGCCAUGGGCACAUGGGAAUAGGGCUUCCACCAAGAGUCCCGUCAGUCACAGCAACAGGAGGUCUUCCUCAGACAACUUUGAUGAUAGUGGUUGUUAGCCAGAGCAAGCUAGAACCAGAAAGAAAAACUAUGAAGAUGCCACAGUGGGAGUCUGAGCACCUUGAGGCCUCCUGUUGGAAACUGGCAAACCUAACUGUGGGACACUUGGAUGCUGAGUUCUGGUAAACAUGCUGUCGGAGGCACGGUAAUUUAGUCAUUAACAUUUAAAAACGAUCUAAUUCUAUAUACAUACUCUGUUGAAGACUUCUUCCAACCACCUUGUAUUAUAAAUUUAAAAUAUGAAAUACAAACUCUUUAUGUGUCUUGACUCAGAUUACCUAGGAAGGGACAGUGACCUAUUCAUCAAUGUUUAGAAUUAGAGUAAGUUAUAGAAUAUAGUCUGAGAAAAUUACUUGGACCAAGAAAGCAAUGUCCCUGACAUUCAUCAAUCUAGAACCAGAGCUGCAGAUUAAGCUAGGUGCAAAUUUAUCAGAAAACAAUAUUUUUCCCAAAUACAUAUUGCAGCCAUAAAAUGCCCUAAAAACCCAGUUCUUAGAGGGACUAUUGCUUACUUACUGAGAAAUUGUAUUCUCUGAAAUCAUAGACUAUGAGAUGCAUUGCUGUUUAAAAUUAUUGCAAUAAGAAUGAAACAUCUCACUCUUAUCUGGAGGAGUUAAGUCAUUGUGAUCAGUGAAGCCUUGAUUUAAGCUCCUGUGCAAAGCUUCAGAGAAUGGGUCUCAGGACACAACAUUUGACAUCUAUUUUGACUUCAUUUCCAAGAAAAUAGGACUGCUAUGGUUUGAAUGUUUGUCUCCCUCAAACCAAGGUGUCGGAGGUGGGGCCUAAUGGGAGACGUUUGGGUUAUCAGGGAGGGUCCCUCAUGAAUAGAUUAAUGCUCUCCCUGGGGGUAGGGAACAGUUAGUGAGUUCUUGCUUUAUUCAUUCUCAAGAGAGCUGGUUGUUAAAUAGAGCCUGGCGCCUCCCUCCUCCCUCCUUGCUUUCUCUCUCACCGUAUGAUCUUAGCACAUUACACCUCCCCUCACCUUCUGCCAUGAGUGGAAGCAGCCUGAGCCUCUCACCAGGAGCAGAUGCUGGUGCCAUGCUUCUUGUACAGCCCACAGAGCAGUGAGCCAAAUAAACCUCUUUUCCUUAGAGAUUGCGCAGCCUCAGAUGUUCCUCUAGAGCAACACAAAAUGGACUAAGACAAGAACCAUAGGUCCAUUUCACAGUACAGAGCUGAGGUUGACCCCUUUUAUACACAACCAUACUUUCUUAGAGCCCAUAGAAUAUCAUUUCAUUUACAUCACACCUAAAUUCCACUCUUUAGCAAAAUCUUAUGUUAACCCUAUAUUUUCCUUUGUUUGAUGAGAUACCCCACAAUUGCUCUGUUGUGCAGUCCCCACACUGCAAUGAGUCAGUAAACUCAAUUGGUUUGUUUACAGGUUGUCCCUGGUGGUUUUAGGCUGAUUGGGCUAAGACAAACCACAUCUUAUUUUUUAAAUGUCUCCUUUAAGCAAAUGUUAUUAUCUGUAUUUUACUCUAUUCCAUAAGCAGAAGUGACAAAGUAGUCUAAUUUUACCAAAAGAUGCUUAUAGCAUAAAACUUUCUAUGCUGUAAACAUAGAAAGUACUUGAAAUCAAAAAGAAAAAAUUACUGUCCUUAAAAUGAAAAAAAAUAUACACACAGAGUUGGGGUUUUUUCACUUUACUAAAGCUCAGGCUGUGCUUAUUACAAUAGAACAGUGAUCAAAACUACAGCUUUUUUUCCUCCUUUAUAAUAUGACCAAACAAGGGUUAGUGGCAAUGAGCACUGCAUCACUUAAAAGAUACUGAAAAACUUGAAAUACUGAUGAACCUCUAACAAACACCUUCUUCCCAAUCCUCACUCUUGACCUAUGACCUUGUUUCCUUUUCACUGAGAAACAGAGAAAAAAUUAGAUGAGAAUGUGUACAAGCUCUCACCACAAGAUCUUCCUACCUCCUCUAACUGCACCUAUAUACUAUUACUAUCAAAGAUCCCUCUGUGUCCCUAACAAAGGCUAUUUCCUCUCCUUUUGCACUAAAUUCCAUAUACUCAUGCCUAUGGGGAGACAUUGUUCCAGUAAUUAUCUCCUUUCCUCUGCUUGGGUCAGCCUCUAGGAUGGACCCCCAUGAUCCCCACCUCCUGGUAUCCGCGCCAUGAUGCAAUCUGCUUACAGCCUAAAUCAGGAUGAACCAUAUGACUCAUAGAACACUGCAGAAGGCAUGAUGUGUGACUUCAGAUGUGAAGUCAUAGAGGACAAGGACACAGCCACCUUCUUGGAUUUCUCACUCUGUGGAAGGGCAGUGACAUUCCAUGAGACAAGCAGUCCUGUGGUGAGGCCCAUGUCAAGAAGGCCUGAGAUCUCCCACCAUCAGCUACAGCCAAUUUGUCAGUCACGUGAGUAAACCACCUGGGACGUGAAUCCUCUCGACUUAACCACCUCUUCAGGUGGCCAGAGCCCUAGCCCAGGUCUGACUGCAACCUGAUGAGAAACCCUGAGUAGGAAGACCUGCUUGAGCUGCUCCCAAAUUAUUGAUCCACAGACACUAUGAGAGAUAAUACGUACUUAGUGUUCUUUUAACCCACUACAUUUUGGUUGGCUGUAUUUAUUACCCUGUAACAGAUGACUAAUACAUCUCCUGUGAUCAAAACACUUCAGAGGUUCCCCAUUUCUCUCAGAGAAAUAUCCAAAGUCCAUAAGGCCUGUGAGGCCCCUCACAUUCUUCCCACCCCCAUUACCUCUCUAACUCCAUUUUCUACCACUCUCCUUCUUUCCACUCUCUCCCCACUCCCACUCCCUCCUCCAGGCCUUCACUGAAAUGUCUCCCUCUCAGUGAGGACUUCCUUUCCUAAACUGCAGUACCCCCAACCUACACACACACACACACACACACACACACACACACACAGAGUCUCUAGUCUUCCUAGCUCCUUAAUUUUUUUUUCCUUAGCACAUAUCACUAUUUCAUAUACCAUAUUUGUCAUCUAUUUUCUGGUUUCCCUUUCUCAGAUGUAAGCUAAGUUGGUGCAGGGGUUUUUGUCUGUUCCCAAUGUCUAGAAGAGUGUCUGAUUUACAGUAGACACUCCAUGAAAUUUGUCAAAUGAAUACACCAGUGUUAAGAGUAUAAGAGUGUAAUAGUACCUUUAAAAAUGCCUCAAAGAUAAAUCUUUUGAUUUAUCUUUAUUUUUAGAUCUCUACCCCCACUUUAGCCACUUCUGAAAUUUACUACUAGAAAAACCUUUUCUUUCGUGAAGAACUGUCUCACAAAAAUAGCAGUUAAAUAGGAAGCUAUCCUAACCCACUGUUUGCCUUUUCCCUUGUGAAACUCAGACCAAAAUUGAAAGUCAUCUAUUGUAACUAUGUGUUCUUGGCAUCUAAACUCUGUUUUGUUUCAUCUUGACUUUCUUAAUUUCCUAGGUUUUUUCCUUUGUUCCUAUUAUUUUAUUGUUUUUAUUCUAUAUUGCUUCAAAGACUUUAUGAAAUUAAGUAAAUUAUAAAUACAAAUAUAAGUAAGUAUACUAGUCUUUUCUUAAGCUCACAACAAAUUAUUACAGGUAUCUUUGAUUCAGUUUAUUAUAAUUACAGAAUUGUAAACUUUUCAAGGAAUAAAUCUUUAAAAUCAACAAAGGUAAUAUUUUUAUUAUUUAUUGGGAUAUUCUUUUUUUUCUUUUUUUUUUCUUUUUUUUUGAGACAGAGUAUCGCUUUGUCACCCAGGUUGGAGUGCAGUGGCUCAAUCUCAGCUCACCUCCCAGUUUCAAGCGAUUCUCCUGCCUCAGCCUCCCAAGCAGCUGGGAUUACAGGCGCCGCCACCACGCUUGGCUAAUUUUUUGUAUUUUUAGUAGACACGCGGUUUCACCGUGUUGGUCAGGCUGGUCUUGAACUCCUGACCUCAAGUGAUCUACCCACCUCGGCUUCCCAAACUGCUGGGAUUACAGGCAUAAGCCACUGUGCCCAACCUGGGGUAUUCUUAUUGUAAAACAUUUUACACGAAAAAUAUACUUUGAAUCAGGAGAGAAACAUUUCAACACAGCAUCAUUAUUUCUCAGUAAAAUGGCACAUUUUUCCUAAUUUCAGAUUAUUCUUGGAAAAUUUUGUUUGCUUCUAUGAUAUAAUAAAAUUCUGCUUGAAAAUUACGUGUUAAAUUGAUUCCUUCUCCAUUUCCAAAAAACAGAGGAAGGGUUAUUUUAAACAAUAAAGUGGUUGAUUAUGUUAUCCAAUGAAUCAGCAGGUUUUUUACUGCCUUCACCAGUCAUCAUUUCUCAUUAUACACAGAGAUCCUCAAAAUGAGCAGCAGAUACACUCAGUCUGUAGGAUCAUUUAGCAACUCGGGGAAGGAGGGUAAGUAGCCUAGAUUUUUUUAAAGUUCCCACACCCAAACAUCUCAAAAGAUCAUAAAAAGAUAAACAAGUGUUCAGAGAUUAAAUAUGGAAAAUAUUGGUAUUGGUUUUGAUUCUAUAGACAAAAAUAAAAUACCACUUGGCAGUAGAUUUCUCACUUUUUAAGUAUUCUUGUAUUUGGUGAAUGGGUAAAAAGAUAGUCAAAUGAGUUAAAUAUACAUUUAAAUAAAUGGGCAAAUAUGUAUUAUCAAUUAUCAGUUAUCAACCCCAUCAAUUAUUUCAUCAUAUCUAAAUACAUAUAAUAUAUAUUCCUCGGCCUGUAAAGUAAACCAACCCCGUCAAUAAUCUCA